rnacentral:lncRNA from 1 species
CACCGCUGCCGCCCCUGGCCGCCGGCAGCUCCCGGGUCUCUCCCUUCCUUCGCUGGGAGCGCGGGCGGCCCAUACCCGCCGCCCCGCAGCCCUGGGGUGUGUCUAGUCAGUGUUUCAGCACACGGCCGGUGUUACGCCGUGUUCCAGGCAGUGCGAACACGGGUGGGUGGUGCUGGGGCAGCGGUGAGGCAGUGGCAAGCCCACUCAGCAGUGGUCCUCGCCACGCGUGAGCAUUCCCUGUGUGCAAAGGAUAAAGUGUCAGGGUGAGACGCGUUUGGGCGGGGCCGCAGCGCCGCCCUCGCUGCGCGCAGCCCCUGUUGCUCCCUCGGGCGCGUUUGCUGUGGCGGGCAGCGGGCAGAGCCGGGGGCGGUCACGGAGGGCUGAGGCGGGGCUGCUCGCCCUCCUGUGUGUGAGCUGUGGGCAGGUGUGCGCAGCGGCUGCAGGGAGUGGAGAUAGGUGGUGGGAUCAUCUUCCAUUUUGCUCCACUCUUUGGAAGUGAAAUUUAAUUACUACGUAGCAAUGUGACUUCAGAGUUGGAGAGAUGAUGAAAAGUGUUUUGAGUGGUAUGAGAACUGGGAGCAUUUCAAUUUUGCUUCAGAUGAUCUGAGCUUCGUAUCUCAAAAGAUGCAUAUAUGGAAUACCCAAAGCAACAUUGUUGUGAGCAUAGGGGUUUGUAUAGUGUUCAUCUUUCAUUUUCAUCACCAUUUUUCUUCAUCCAAGGAUACAGAAGGAUGUUUUCAUCAGUAAACAGCAAACAUGAGAAUAUACAGCAAGCAUCUUCCCCAUGCACCUUGAUGUGGGUGUGA